GGGGAUAUGGCGGAAUGGUAGACGCAGCGGACUCAAAAUCCGUUGGUUUCACAGAACCGUGAGGGUUCGACUCCCUCUAUCCCCA
rnacentral:tRNA from 1 species